UUGGAAUUUUAAUGUAUUUUUUUUUUUACAUGUGAAAGUUAAGUUUUUAGAUUGGGUUUUGCAGUAUUUAAUAUUAUGGAUCCUGGAAAUGGGGACUUAGAAAUUUAUUUUAGUUUUAAUAAAAUUUGUGCCAGCAAUUGCGGUUAUACAAAUAAUGCGGUUAAAAUAUAUUGGCUAAUAAUUAAUUGAUAUUUUAAAAUUUAUUAUUAAAUUUUUUAGGUGAAAUUUUAUAUUUAAUAUAGGUUUAUUUAUUGAUUAUGAAGUUAUUAAAGUUUUCUUUAGACUAGGAUUAGAUACCCUAUUAUUUUUAUUGUAAAUUUUUAUGCCUUAUUAUUAAUAGAUUAUUUUCUUAAAAGUUAAAGAUUUUGGCGGUAUUUUAGUCUAUUCAGAGGAACCUGUCCUGUAAUUGAUAACCCACGAUUUAAUUUACUUUCUUUUUUAGUUUGUAUAUCGUCGUGAUUUGAAUAUUUUAUAAGAAUUUAAAUGUUCAAUAAGUAAUAUUAUACUUUAUGUCAGAUCAAGGUGCAGCUUAUGGGAAAGAAGAGAUGGGUUACAUUAAAGUUAUUUUUGGUUUAUAAAUUUUAAUUAUUUAUAUUAAAUUGGAUUUGAAUGUAAUAUUUUUUAAUUAAUAAAUGUGAUUUUAGCUCUAAAAUAUGCACAUAUUGCCCGUCGCUCUCAUUUAAGGUGAGAUAAGUCGUAACAAAGUAGGUGUACUGGAAAGUGUACCUAGAAAGAU
rnacentral:ncRNA from 1 species